rnacentral:rRNA from 1 species
GACGAACGCUGGCGGCGUGCCUAAUACAUGCAAGUUGAGCGCUGAAGGUUGGUACUUGUACCAACUGGAUGAGCAGCGAACGGGUGAGUAACGCGUGGGGAAUCUGCCUUUGAGCGGGGGACAACAUUUGGAAACGAAUGCUAAUACCGCAUAAAAACUUUAAACACAAGUUUUAAGUUUGAAAGAUGCAAUUGCAUCACUCAAAGAUGAUCCCGCGUUGUAUUAGCUAGUUGGUGAGGUAAAGGCUCACCAAGGCGAUGAUACAUAGCCGACCUGAGAGGGUGAUCGGCCACAUUGGGACUGGGACACGGCCCAAACUCCUACGGGAGGCAGCAGUAGGGAAUCUUCGGCAAGGGACGAAAGUCUGACCGAGCAACGCCGCGUGAGUGAAGAAGGUUUUCGGAUCGUAAAACUCUGUUGGUAGAGAAGAACGUUGGUGAGAGUGGAAAGCUCAUCAAGUGACGGUAACUACCCAGAAAGGGACGGCUAACUACGUG